CCUUGUCCCUGUCUGGAUACAGUAGUACAGUACCUUUAGAUAUGACCUAUAUACCACAACAUCCCAGUGUAACCUUGUCCCUGCCUGGAUACAGUAGUACAGUACCUUUAGAUAUGACCUAUAUAUCCGUCUGCUUCCCAAAUAACACCUUAUUCCCUUUAUAGUGCACAACUUUACAUCAGAGACCUAUGAGCCAAUUGGGAAGCGGCCUGUGUGUUCUGUCUCACCUGAGGUGUGUGUUUGUUCUGUCUCACCUGAGGUGUGUGUGUGUGUUCUGUCUCACCUGAGGUGUGUGUGUGUGUGUUCUGUCUCACCUGAGGUGUGUGUGUGUUCUGUCUCACCUGAGGUGUGUGUUUGUUCUGUCUCACCUGAGGUGUGUGUGUGUGUUCUGUCUCUCCUGAGGUGUGUGUGUUCUGUCUCACCUGAGGUGUGUGUGUGUGUUCUGUCUCACCUGAGGGGUGUGUGUGUGUGUUCUGUCUCACCUGAGGGGUGUGUGUGUGUUCUGUCUCUCCUGAGGUGUGUGUGUGUGUUCUGUCUCACCUGGGGGGUG
ensembl:lncRNA